rnacentral:rRNA from 1 species
UACGAAGGGGGCUAGCGUUGCUCGGAAUCACUGGGCGUAAAGGGUGCGUAGGCGGGUCUUUAAGUCAGGGGUGAAAUCCUGGAGCUCAACUCCAGAACUGCCUUUUAUACUGAAGAUCUUGAGUUCGGGAGAGGUGAGUGGAACUGCGAGUGUAGAGGUGAAAUUCGUAGAUAUUCGCAAGAACACCAGUGGCGAAGGCGGCUCACUGGCCCGGUACUGACGCUGAGGUGCGAAAGCGUGGGGAGCAAACAGG